AGAGUUUGAUCCUGGCUCAGGAUGAACGCUAGCGGCAGGCCUAACACAUGCAAGUCGAGGGGUAGAGGGGUGCUUGCACCCCUUGAGACCGGCGCACGGGUGCGUAACGCGUAUGCAACCUACCUAUUGCAGGGGAAUAGCCCAGGGAAACUUGGAUUAAUGCCCCAUAGUCCAUAUUGAGAGCAUUCGAUAUAUGGUAAAGAUUUAUCGGCAAUAGAUGGGCAUGCGUCCCAUUAGCUAGUUGGUAUGGUAACGGCAUACCAAGGCAACGAUGGGUAGGGGCCCUGAGAGGGGGAUCCCCCACACUGGUACUGAGACACGGACCAGACUCCUACGGGAGGCAGCAGUGAGGAAUAUUGGACAAUGGGCGGGAGCCUGAUCCAGCCAUGCCGCGUGCAGGAAGACUGCCCUAUGGGUUGUAAACUGCUUUUUUACGGGAAGAAACACCCCCACGUGUGGGGGCUUGACGGUACCGUACGAAUAAGGACCGGCUAACUCCGUGCCAGCAGCCGCGGUAAUACGGAGGGUCCGAGCGUUAUCCGGAAUCAUUGGGUUUAAAGGGUCCGUAGGCGGGCGUCUAAGUCAGUGGUGAAAUCUCGCGGCUCAACCGUGAAAUUGCCAUUGAUACUGGUCGCCUUGAAUUAGUGUGAAGUGGCUAGAAUAUGUAGUGUAGCGGUGAAAUGCUUAGAUAUUACAUAGAAUACCGAUUGCGAAGGCAGGUCACUAACACUAUAUUGACGCUGAUGGACGAAAGCGUGGGGAGCGAACAGGAUUAGAUACCCUGGUAGUCCACGCCGUAAACGAUGGAUACUAGCUGUCCGGCCUGCAUUGGUAGGCUGGGUGGCCAAGCGAAAGUGAUAAGUAUCCCACCUGGGGAGUACGUUCGCAAGAAUGAAACUCAAAGGAAUUGACGGGGGCCCGCACAAGCGGUGGAGCAUGU
rnacentral:rRNA from 1 species